UCACUUUACCCGCACUCAUCUUCCUCAGGAGGCUUUGAUUUUGGCUUUAUGCACAGUACCACGUAAGGACAUGACAAGCUGGUAGGGCAAUGAGCAAUGAAUUGAGAACUUCUUCCACUGUGUUUUUUGAAACUAUUAACAGAGAUUCCAACAUCCUCUCUCCUGAAUGCCUGCUGAACGUAACAGAAAAUGGUAAGAAUUCAGGUAUUACCCAGUUAAUGACACACACUGAAUGUGAAAAGCCAACAGACAAACAAAUGGAUGCUGAAAGUUAAAUCAUCAUGACUUGCUACUGCGGUACAUCCUGCAGGAAUUACUAAUGACGAGGACAGUAGGUUUAACACAUUAAAAAUCCUUAUGGAUUGACAAGGCCAUAAUGAAAUACAGGUUAAAUAGUCUCACAUUAAAACUUUCAUCAAAUAUAAGAGCAGAAUAUGCCCAGUGUCAUAGCAAACUAACUUCUGUGCAAAUAGAGAUAGCAGAAUGUAAUUCUGUAAAACUAACGUCCUUGUUCCAAGAACAUUCUUAGAUUACACCAAAAAGGACAGAGAUAAGGCGCAGUAUUUCCAACAAUCAUGUCCCUUACACCUCCAUGCCAAUGAAUUCUCAAAUCAUUCUCUAAGAUGCUACGUUUCUGAAUUCCAAUUUUAAGUGUAAUUAACACAGAUCUUGGUGGUAUUCAUGAGCUCACUACACAGAAAAUAAUGAGAAGAAUGAAUGGCGAUGGUGGUGUAACUUGCUGUAAAAGCUGUUUGUAGUUGAUGUGGGUGUAUUUUUUUUUCUUUUCUUUUUUUUUAAUAUUUAUUUAUUUAUUUAUUUAUUUUUCCAGCCAGUGAAUUGUGCAGCAAUUUCUGGUAUGGUAAAAACAUCAAUGGGCGGACAUCUGCCACAGAUGGAAAUUCGCACAGUACUCAGCAUUUAAGCAGGAGGAAACACAAGUUUAGAAAACAAUUUUAUUAGACAAAUUAUUUAGACAAAUUAUACACAGAAAGCUCUGCCACUUGUAACUGAGGCCUCCAAAAAGUGUUUUGUGUAUCUGUAUAAUAGGCAACACAUCAAAAUAGGCCUAUUUUAAAUAUCGUACAUGGUUAACAUUUCUUUUUUUAUGUAGCUAAAAUCACUGCAACAUCUGGUAUGUCCCUACGUAGCUUCUUGGAAAGAAAUUUUCUUUUUUUUUUUUUUAAAUUUUGCUCAGAGGUGUGGAUGAGUUCAUGAAUGUUACAAGGGGGAAGCAAGUUGUGCAUGCUUUUAGACACUUGCUACCCUGGAAACAAAAUGGCCUUUUGCACAAUAAGAAUUUGUUCUGCCUUACACAGUAGACAAUAUUUGAAGAUUUAGUACAAAAAACAGUGACAGUACAAGAUGCUCCCCCAGAACAGAAUUAGCGUCAAAAUAGAAUAGAUUUGAAGAAUAUACCUUUUAAUUUAUCCUAAAGCAAAUCACAUAGGCUGAUUCCUAUUAAUCCUAGCCAAAGAAUGAGUUAGGUUAAAAUAAGUGUAUGGUUGCAUUAAAAAACAAACCAAACCAAAAAAAUAAAAAAUAAAACAAAACAAAGAAAAAUGAAACCUCACAGGAUAUACUGCUUGCUUUCUACUUAACUGCAUCUUUAAUUUUAAGGAUUACAAAUUGAAAGCUCUUCCUACAUUUCUAACAGGUAACAGUGUUACUUUAAAAAGCUGGUGCCAAAACAGGCACUGGUUCUGCUCUCACUGCUGUUCUUUCUCUUGUUCUAUACAGUUGGCACUAAUGUAAAAAGUAUGUAGCUCCUCUAAAUCUAAC
rnacentral:lncRNA from 1 species